CUCCGGAACUGUACAGGCACUUGCCAAAAAUGUAAAAAGUGGUAAAACUAAUGUUUUUAUAAUAAGAAUUUUCCCGAUUAAAGUUAAAUUACGAUUUCCCCAUAAAUGAAAUAGUUUAUUCAUUUUCUCAAUUUUAUUCUCCCAGUUUAAUUUUUCACAUUCUUCUCUGUUAUGACCAAAAUAUAUUCCCAAUGCUUUGACUGGUUUGUUUGUCCAAUUAAUCCC
rnacentral:lncRNA from 1 species